rnacentral:rRNA from 1 species
UACCAGCACCCCGAGUGGUCGGGACGAUUAUUGGGCCUAAAGCAUCCGUAGCCGGUUUUACAAGUCCUCCGUUAAAUCCAGCUGCUUAACAGAUGGGCUGCGGAGGAUACUAUAAGACUAGGAGGCAGGAGAGGCAAGCGGUACUCAGUGGGUAGGGGUAAAAUCCGUUGAUCCAUUGAAGACCACCAGUGGCGAAGGCGGCUUGCCAGAAUGCGCUCGACGGUGAGGGAUGAAAGCUGGGGGGAGCAAACAGG